ensembl:rRNA 5S_rRNA 5S ribosomal RNA
GUCUACGGCCAUACUACCCGGACCUUUGAAGCUAAGCAGAGUUGGGUCGGGCCAGUACUUGGAUGGGAGACCACCUGGGAAUAAUGGGGGAGGUAGGUU